GACAGAGGGUGCAAACGUUGUUCGGAAUUACUGGGCGUAAAGCGCGUGUAGGCGGCUCUGCAAGUCGGAUGUGAAAGCCCCCGGCUCAACCGGGGAGUGCGGCUGCGAACUGGAUUUCUUGAGGACGAUAGAGGAGAGUGGAAUUCCUGGUGUAGCGGUGAAAUGCGUAGAUAUCAGGAGGAACACCCGAGGCGAAGGCGGCUCUCUGGGUCGUACCUGACGCUGAGGCGCGAAAGCGUGGGGAGCGAACGGG
rnacentral:rRNA from 1 species